GAUGAACGCUAGCUACAGGCUUAACACAUGCAAGUCGAGGGGUCUUUUGGAGCUUGCUUUAAAAGACGACCGGCGCACGGGUGAGUAACGCGUAUCCAACCUGCCCCUCAUAUUGGGAUAGCCUUCCGAAAGGAAGAUUAAUACCGAAUAACAUGAUAGAGUUGCCUGAUUUUAUCAUGAAAGCUCCGGCGAUGAAGGAUGGGGAUGCGUUCCAUUAGGUAGUAGGCGGGGUAACGGCCCACCUAGCCGACGAUGGAUAGGGGUUCUGAGAGGAAGGUCCCCCACACUGGAACUGAGACACGGUCCAGACUCCUACGGGAGGCAGCAGUGAGGAAUAUUGGUCAAUGGGCGCAAGCCUGAACCAGCCAAGUAGCGUGAAGGAUGACUGCCCUAUGGGUUGUAAACUUCUUUUAUACGGGAACAAACCCCGGUACGUGUACCGGAUUGCGUGUACCGUAUGAAUAAGCAUCGGCUAACUCCGUGCCAGCAGCAGCCGCCGUAA
rnacentral:rRNA from 1 species